rnacentral:tRNA from 1 species
CAUUAGAUGUCUGAAAGUAAGUAAUAGUCUCUUAAACUAAUAAUAUUAGAGUAACGCCUAUUUCUAAUG